UACGUAGGGUGCAAGCGUUAAUCGGAAUUACUGGGCGUAAAGCGUGCGCAGGCGGUUUUGUAAGUCUGGCGGGAAAUCCCCGGGCUUAACCUGGGAAUGGCGAUGGAGACUGCAAGGCUAGAGUUUGGCAGAGGGGGGUAGAAUUCCACGUGUAGCAGUGAAAUGCGUAGAGAUGUGGAGGAACACCGAUGGCGAAGGCAGCCCCCUGGGUCAAAACUGACGCUCAUGCACGAAAGCGUGGGGAGCAAACAGG
rnacentral:rRNA from 1 species